rnacentral:lncRNA from 1 species
UCACAUCCACACCAUGAUACAGCAUCUGUUGUAAAAAGUGUAAAAUCCCCAGAACUGAUGUUGUUGGGGGGACAGCCUUUCCAUCCAUGCUGUCCUCAUGGAGGAACAGCCUUUCCUUUCAUGCUGUCCUCCCAAGGAACUGCUCCCCAUCUUGCUGUUCCACCUUGCUAUCCUCCUGGCCAUUCUCAACAUUACUUUCUAAAUUAAUAAAUCUCUUUUUUGUUUUUAAGCUAAGUUUUGGAGUCUUGUGUUAGGGUCCAGGUAUUCGCCCACCACCAAGGAAGACCCAUAGACAAUGCAAUCAGGCAAAAGGGUUGUUUAUUGUACUGGUGCACACCAGUGGAAACUUAGCCAUCAGAGUUCCAAGUUCCCUCCUAAAGACUCAGCCUUAAAUACUCUUCAGCAUGUAUGGUCCCCCCUCCUUCCAGUCCUUUAUCUGUUGCAUACCAUUGUUGGAAUGUUGCCGGUAUGUAUGGCUCCCCUCAGCCCUUAUCUGCUACAUACUGUUUUUGGAACCUUGACAUUUUUAUGUUACAGGGUCUUCCUGGCCUCUAAGUUCUUAUCUGGUACCCACUGCAGCUGGGAUCUUGGCAUAUUUGUGGUUCUGAACUUCCAAGGCCAGGCAGUUUUCCUGCUCAGGCCUCCCUCACUUGCAUGCUUGCAAAAGGUGACCUUCCAUUGGAACCCAUCACUCUCUUCUUUUUCGGAAAUUCUUUCAGUGGCUUCUCCCCACUUGUCCUCAAGCUCUCCUUCAGUUGUCCAGGAUUUUUCAGUCUAG